AAUAUUGUAAAUUGCUCCUACAGUACGUGAUAAUUAUGAGAACGCAGUUUCAAAUAUAGAUGACCACUUGGAGGAUAAUGGCAAUUUUCUUUUUUAAGUGAAGGAUAAGGGCAGUUCACAUCAUCACUUUUAAGCAAUUGAUGACCAAAACUUUUACAUGCAAAAUUUACUGCACUACAACUCAGCACACAAUGCAUAACGAAGACAAAUUAAAAGCAAAGCAACUUCUACAAUGGAGUUUAUUUACUUCUGGCAUAUAUUACCAUAUAAAUGGAAUUUAUUUAGUCUGGGUCUCAGAAAACAAGUUACUUGAGCUAGGAUUGUUUGAGUGUAUCGUCCGAGGUCCUAGCAAGAAACCUUUCCUUGUCCGUAUGCUAUAGUAGCAUUAGUAGAGCUUGCAACCAAAGUAGCCGCAAAAGUCAAUUAUGCGUGCUCCUGAAAAACGUAAAUAAAUUUGUAGGAUAAAUUGUGUGAAGAAAGCAAAUAGAAAAAAACACUUAAGAAGUGAAAACAGAGAAAAUACUGCUGAAAGUGAAUACAAAGAGAGUACAAAGUGGUAUGCUUGCAAGAUAAGAACCACCUUUGCGUGCAAGAUAGGAACCACCUAUUAGAGCAGAAAGAGAACACUGCAUAAAUAGAAUGAACAAGCACUAAUGUGAAAUUGGUUGUCAGCCAGGUAGUUGUGAGAGGUUGGGACUCGGAGAAACUGCAGCGUACAGUUGAUGGGCAACAUGACACACUAGUAGUGAGUAGUAGGGACUAUAGCUUAGUUAAUCACCAGAAAUGGCACCACAAACUUGCCUCUGAUAAUUGCAUUUUCUCUUAAGGAACCUUGCUUGUGAUCAAACAUGUUCAAAAAUAUAUAAGGAGCAUCACUCUUUUACAUUAUAUUCAUGCAAAUACAUAUGACAGUCAGGAUCCUCUCUUCAAGUUCAAGCCGAUGGCUAAUAAGAUGAUGCCAGUACUGGAUAGGGAAAUGACAUAUACAUUCUUAAAAAAGGUAGAACUUUCAUUGGACAUGCUUGGGGUAGGGUCACAUCAUGCAGCUAAUUUUACUAAAAUAUUGAACCUUACCCUUUUCUUUCUUGACAAAUCACCAUUUCAUACUAAACUAUCACUAGAGACUUAUUUUCUUCUUUGGUGUUUGCAGGCUCACACGUCAAAGUCAUUGCAGGUACUGCUCCUAAUCAAACAUUCCUUCAAUUCAAAAUGGCAAAGGAUGUCUAUUAGCCACAAAUUCUUAUCUUUCUCGACUAUGGCUCUAAACAUUUUCUCGAACCCAUUAAUAACACCAAAUGGUGCCUUCUUAUCCAAACAGUAUAUUGAUUUCCUGUUCACUGCUUGCCAGCUACAUCAUCGGUGGCCACAAUAGUGGUUCUUUUGUUAAUGGUAGCCACUGGACUCUAUCUUUCACUUAAGACAAGAUAUAAUGAGGAGAUACACUUGAAGGUCGAAAUGUUUCUCAAGACAUAUGGCACCUCAAAACCCACAAGGUAUAGCUUCUCUGAACUUAAGAAGAUAACAAGGCGAUUUAAGGAAAAAGUAGGUCAGGGUGGAUUUGGGAGUGUAUACAAAGGCGAGCUACCAAAUGGAGUGCCUGUGGCAAUCAAAAUGUUAGAGAACUCUAUAGGCGAAGGAGAAGAAUUCAUCAACGAAGUUGCAACCAUAGGACUAAUCCACCAUGCAAAUAUUGUGCGUCUCCUAGGUUUUUGCUCUGAAGGAACAAGGCGUGCCCUAAUUUAUGAAUACAUGCCUAAUGAGUCACUGGAAAAAUAUAUAUUCUCAAAUGAUUCUAGUAUUUCCCAGGAUCUACUGGUGCCAAAGAAAAUGGUAGAUAUUGCUUUGGGCAUUGCCCGGGGAAUGGAAUACCUACAUCAAGGAUGCAAUAAACGCAUCCUCCACUUUGACAUCAAGCCUCACAACAUCUUGCUAGACUUCAACUUCAAUCCAAAGAUCUCAGACUUUGGCCUAGCAAAACUGUGUGCAAGGGAUCAAAGCAUCGUUACCUUGACAGCAGCAAGAGGCACUAUGGGAUAUAUGGCACCAGAGUUGUACUCUCGGAAUUUUGGUGGGGUAUCCUACAAGUCUGAUGUUUACAGUUUCGGCAUGCUUGUGUUAGAAAUGUUAAGUGGAAGGAGGACCUCAGACCCAAGUGUUGAUAGCCAAAAUGAUGUUUACCUCCCAGAGUGGAUCUUUGAGAGAGUAAUCACUGGGCAGGACUUGGUACUUUCCAGGGAAAUGACUGCAGCAGAGAAAGAAAAGGUAAAACAGCUAGCCAUGGUGGCCCUAUGGUGCAUUCAAUGGAACCCAAAAAAUCGACCCUCAAUGACAAAAGUGGUGAACAUGUUAACAGGGAGGUUGGAGAAUCUGCAGAUGCCCCCAAAGCCUUUCGUCUAAUCUGAAUUCUGAAAGUCAUCCAGUGUCAUAAAAAAUGAAGAAUCAUCGUCAAAUGUACUGAAUAUUAGAGACAACAAAAAAAAAUAGCUCCUCCUGUGUUGGAGAGUAUUCUAUAGUGUAGUGCCUGCAUGAAAACAUGUUUGGAUUGUUCCACCAUGUAUGUAUGUGAUGCAUUAAUAGUAAUUUGUUGGUUUCUUGACUAUGUAGUGCUAGUUAUCUGCAACGUAUCAGAUCUAAGGUGGACUUGGCUUGUGUGUAAUAGCUUAAAGAGCCAUAUUGCUUCAAUUCAUAAUGAUCUUGCCAUGAUUUAGUUCCUUGCCCUUUUCCGCGGUACAUGUUCUUUUCCAAUUCAAUGAGACAAAAUCUCAAAAUAAGGUGAACCCAGAGUCGAGGAGCAUUCUGUCAAGAAGUCAAUAACCUGUUUGGCUGGCUGAAAAUAAACGUUGAUUUUGACUGAUGGUGAUUUGAUGUGAGAGAAAUACAUUGUUCGAUUUUGGCUGAUAAGCUCAAGAGAAAUAUGUUAGUUGUAUUGUCGAGCAUUGCAGAAAUAUGUUAGAAUAGGUUGGAUCAAUUUCACUCACCAUGUACUGUCGAUCCCAACGGUGAUGAAGCGAUCUAGCCAUGUGCAUGUACUCGCGUGGUAGCCUAGUUAGCAGACGGUAGGAAACAGAUCCGGCACAGAAGAAACGCUGCAUAGGCUAAUUGAUUGAUGAUCGCCUUCCAUCCACUUCGUGUUCAUAGCUACAUGGACCAGUAGGCC
rnacentral:lncRNA from 1 species